rnacentral:tRNA from 1 species
GCCUGGGUGGCUCAGUCAGUUGAGCGUCCGACUUCAGCUCAGGUCAUGAUCUCAUGGUCCGUGAGUUCUAGCCUCACAUCAGGCC